AAAUGAUUCAGUCUGGGGGUCAACAGGUACCCAAAGAUGCUGCAGUCAAGCAGAAUUGAAGACAGCCACUUGGGAGGAAGGUGGAAGCUGAGCAAUAUCAGUUCUCCAAGCAGUUGCAAAGGUCUCAGCAAUAGCUGUCUACUGAGGGCAAAUUUCAGUCCUUGCUGCCAGUCCCUCAAGGGCAGUGAGGUGCACGACCUUCCUGUUUACUGCAGGGCAGUGCCCAGCCCGAGAAUGCCCCAUGAUCAUGUGGAGCAGGUGAUGGAGCCCUCUGGGAACCUGUGUGUCAGAACUACUAUGUGCUGAUUUUCUAGGGGAUAUGAAGCCAGAAUGGAUGUGUGCCUGUUUCCUGACUGCUUGGGAGAAGGAGGAAAUGCAAAGGAAAAAAAGAAAGAAACAAGAACUACAAAAUGAUAACAAGCACCUCUAGCAGGAUGGUCAACCUUACUACACUUGAGAAUCAGUUCUGGCUCCACAAAAGCAAGGACUGAAGACUGUAUCCCCAAAGGACUACCUGACAUUUGCAUACCCCUAAAACCAGGCUUGCAAAGCGAGUCAACUUUUUCAACAGCCCAGGAGUCAUGAAAAGCUCACUAGAGUUGGAGGACUCACAUCCUGGAAAAUUCAUUAUGCCACAUAAUUGCUCCGCCGCCGAGGUGAAAGGCAGCCAGUUGCCUGGGGGAUAAGAAGAGACUAUUGCUAUAUGAAGGAUUUGUU